GAUGAACGCUGGCGGCGUGCCUAAUACAUGCAAGUAGAACGCUGAAGCUUGGUGCUUGCACCGAGCGGAUGAGUUGCGAACGGGUGAGUAACGCGUAGGUAACCUGCCUGGUAGCGGGGGAUAACUAUUGGAAACGAUAGCUAAUACCGCAUAACAGUAGAUAUUGCAUGAUAUCUGCUUGAAAGGUGCAAAUGCAUCACUACCAGAUGGACCUGCGUUGUAUUAGCUAGUUGGUGAGGUAACGGCUCACCAAGGCGACGAUACAUAGCCGACCUGAGAGGGUGAUCGGCCACACUGGGACUGAGACACGGCCCAGACUCCUACGGGAGGCAGCAGUAGGGAAUCUUCGGCAAUGGGGGGAACCCUGACCGAGCAACGCCGCGUGAGUGAAGAAGGUUGUCGGAUCGUAAAGCUCUGUUGUAAGAGAAGAACGAGUGUGAGAGUGGAAAGUUCACACUGUGACGGUAUCUUACCAGAAGGGGACGGCUAACUACGUG
rnacentral:rRNA from 1 species